GCCUUUGUGGUGUAGUGGUCAGCUUGCUCGACACAUAUUCGAGAGGUCUGUGGUUCAAGUCCCGGCGAGGGCA
rfam:Stegodyphus mimosarum contig85095, whole genome shotgun sequence.